rnacentral:tRNA from 1 species
CGCGGAGUAGAGCAGUCUGGUAGCUCGUUGGGCUCAUAACCCGAAGGUCACAGGUUCAAAUCCUGUCUCCGCUA